rnacentral:rRNA from 1 species
CCUACGGGAGGCAGCAGUGAGGAAUAUUGGUCAAUGGGCGCAAGCCUGAACCAGCCAAGUCGCGUGAAGGAUGACUGCCCUCCGGGUUGUAAACUUCUUUUAUAAGGGAAUAAAGUGCGGCACGUGUGCCUUUUUGUAUGUACUUUAUGAGUAAGGAUCGGCUAACUCCGUGACAGCAGCCGCGGUAAUACGGAGGAUCCGAGCGUUAUCCGGAUUUAUUGGGUUUAAAGGGAGCGUAGAUGGGUUGUUAAGUCAGUUGUGAAAGUUUGCGGCUCAACCGUAAAAUUGCAAUUGAUACUGGCAGUCUUGAGUACAGGUGAGGUAGGCGGAAUUCGUGGUGUAGCGGUGAAAUGCGUAGAGAUCACGAAGAACUCCGAUUGCGAAGGCAGCUUACUAAACUGCGACUGACAUUGAGGCUCGAAAGCGUGGGUAUCAAACAGGAUUAGAUACCCGAGUAGUC